GCGGCCUUCGCCGAGGUGAAGCGGCCGGUCGCCUCCAGCGCGACGUCCACGCCGAGUUCGGCCCACGGCAGCCGCGCC
rnacentral:tRNA from 1 species